rnacentral:rRNA from 1 species
AUUGAACGCUGGCGGCAGGCCUAACACAUGCAAGUCGAGCGGAGCGGCGGACGUGUGAGUAAUGUAUGAGGAUCUGCCCGAUAGAGGGGGAUAACUACUGGAAACGGGCGAUAAUACCGCAUACUAUCAGAUGAGCCUAGGUCGGAUUAGCUAGUUGGUGGGGUAAAGGCCUACCAAGGCGACGAUCCGUAACUGGUCUGAGAGGAUGAUGAUGCACACGGGAACUGAGACACGGUCCAGACUCCUACGGGAUGCAGCAGUGGGAAAGAUUGGACAAUGGGCGAAAGCCUGAUCCAGCCAUGCCGCGUGUAUGAAGAAGGCCUUAGGGUUGUAAAGUACUUUCAGUGGGGAGGCGUUACCCGCAGAAGAAGCACCGGCUAACUCCGUGCCAGCAGCCGCGGUAAUAC